AAAUGUAAUCUAGACAAGACUGAACCAGACACAAAAAGAAAUGCACCAAAAAACCUCUGGUGGUGUUUUGGCGGCUUCUUGCCGCUUCCUCGGACUUGGACGGAUUGGCAGAGUGAUGUCAGCUGAUACUGACUCGUGAGGUGUUUUGUUGAAGCAAGACUUGUGGGAUCUUUACUUCAUUGAGAGAAGCACAGCAGAGAACUGCACUUGGUAUCCAUGUGGGCACUGGUCCCUCCUGCUGACACUUGCUGAUUCAUCGGAGGUCUGGCUGUUCCUGCUGGGUGACACCAUUGCUGCUGAUUCAUGUCUGCCAUCUUGUCUGCUGUACUGGACUGCUGGUAUCCUGACAAUUGGAGAUUGAAAUUACCCCAAGGAACUACUUCUAAACUACAGACAGCAGAGCCUCUCGGUUUCCUCUGGAUAGACCUGCCGAUGCUGAUUCGUGUGAACUGCACUGAUUAUAUCCUGACAGCACAGUUGGAUUUUCUCCAAAGAACUAUUUCUAACAAGUUCACUUCCCUGUAACCUAAUAACCUCUUUCCCUCUACCUUUGGUGGGUGGUGGACUAGAAGGGAGGUUAAAGCGUUUAAGAACCCUUAUUAAAGACCUGCACCGGGGCCAGGGUCUCACUAUAUCACCUUGACUAGCCUGUCUCCAACUCAUGGAGAUGCCCUGUCUUCCUUGUGCCUUGCGGAAGGCAUGCAGCAACAUGGCUGCCAGUCUCUUUUUCACAUAGAGAUCUAGUCAAAUACCAAACAACUCC
rnacentral:lncRNA from 1 species